AUACGUAGGGAGCGAGCGUUGUCCGGAAUUACUGGGCGUAAAGAGCUCGUAGGUGGUUUGUCGCGUCGUCUGUGAAAUUCCGGGGCUUAACUCCGGGCGUGCAGGCGAUACGGGCAUAACUUGAGUACUGUAGGGGAGACUGGAAUUCCUGGUGUAGCGGUGAAAUGCGCAGAUAUCAGGAGGAACACCGGUGGCGAAGGCGGGUCUCUGGGCAGUAACUGACGCUGAGGAGCGAAAGCAUGGGUAGCGAACAGGAUUAGAUACCCUGGUAGUCCAUGCCGUAAACGGUGGGCGCUAGGUGUAGGGGUCUUCCACGACUUCUGUGCCGUAGCUAACGCAUUAAGCGCCCCGCCUGGGGAGUACGGCCGCAAGGCUAAAACUCAAAUGAAUUGACGGGG
rnacentral:rRNA from 1 species